GGGUGCGUAGCUCAGUCGGUAGAGCACCGGCCUUCCAAGCCGGCCGCGCGGGUUCGAACCCCGCCGCACUCU
rnacentral:tRNA from 1 species